rnacentral:rRNA from 1 species
CUACGGGAGGCUGCAGGGAAUAUUGCGCAAUGGACGAAAGUCUGACGCAGCAACUCCGCGUGGAGGAUGACGGUCUUCGGAUUGUAAACUUCUUUUAUUUGGGAAGAAAGUGCAUAGUAGUAACUGACUAUGUUUUGACGGUACCAUUUGAAUAAGCCACGGCUAAAUACGUGCCAGCAGCCGCGGUAAUACGUAUGUGGCGAGCGUUACUCGGAAUCACUGGGCGUAAAGAGUACGUAGGCGGUUUUUUAAGCCAGAGGUGAAAUUUCGGAGCUCAACUUCGAACCUGCCUUUGGAACUGGAAGACUUGAGUAUGUGAGGGGAAGAUGGAAUUCCUGGUGUAGCGGUGGAAUGCGUAGAUAUCAGGAAGAACACCAGCGGCGAAGGCGGUCUUCUGGCACAAUACUGACGCUGAGGUACGAAAGCGUGGGGAGCGAACAGGAUUAGAUACCCCAGUAGUC